AAGACCGUGGAAUCGGACCAAGUUUGCCGAUAAUCUCCCUGAAUGUGUGUUCUUCAGGAAGCAUAUCGAAAAGAUCAGUUCCUUUGCAGAUAAUGUCUUGGAUUCGUCUCGGGUUCAGAUAAUAAACUGCAAUGCCAACCUGAAUCUGUCAAAAGAUUGUUGCUUUGCCGGAAAUGAGCGCACCGAGUUUUCCCAGGCUUGUAGAGAUGAACCGAAGCUCUCCAGCUUUUGCUAUCGACAUAGUACUCAUAUGAGUAGAGGUAGUUUCUCAACUGAAGAUGAAGGAUCGGUGGGAACCCGUCACACCAUCUAAGCAGAUUGAUGGUAUGGCCGCUCGGGAUCUCAUCGACAUCCGACAUUAUCAAAAGAUCAUCUUCUUUUAUACCUGCGAGCUUGAUCAACUGGUCAAGUGCAAGCCUUUGGAAUGAUUCCUCCACAAAGGGGUUUUCGCCUUUCUUGAACCUUCCUCCAACGUUCCCAUAAGUCAGCCUUGGCUCAACGAAUUUGAAAUUCUUCUCCCUGUUGUCUGCGAAAGCCAACUGUUUUGACAGUCCGGUGAAAGUUGAGUUAGAUUCGAGAAGCACAAACUGAGUAAUGUAAGGAUUUAACUCAUUCCAACGGAGAGUGAGCAUAUCGAUCUCGUUACUGAACAAGGCAGCAUCAAAGACUCUUCUUGGAGAUUCGCGGAGUUUCCAGCCAUGAAGAUUGCAGAGCAAUUCCAUGGAAGUGUUCUCGUGAUAGUAAUGCGGAAGGAUGUUAAAAGGUUUAGGAGGUGAUUCCCAUAGAGGUCUCAAGAAAUAUGUGAUCUUCUGGCCGUGUAGAUAGAUGCCGAAGAUGAAGAGUGGCAGGAGAGUGAAGAGAAACAGGAAUGUUUUGAAAUCGAGUCCUCUUAGAACACAUCUAAGCCUUGAAAUGGCCUUGCCUGCUCGAGAACCUUCCUGUAACAUAUAUAUAACAAAAGAAGAGAUUCC